UCGACGAGUUUGAUCAUGGCUCAGGAUAGAACGCUGGCGGCGUGCCUAAUACAUGCAAGUCGAACGAGGUGCUUUUGUAGCAAUACGAGAGUAUCCUAGUGGCGAACGGGUGAGUAACGCGUGGAUGACCUCGACCCCAAAGUGUGGGAUAACAGUCCGAAAGGAUUGCUAAUACCUCAUGUGGUUAUCGGUUUUAGAAAGCGAUAACUAAAGCAGCAAUGCGCUUUGGGAGGGAUCUGCGUCCCAUCAGCUAGUUGGUGAGGUAACGGCUCACCAAGGCGACGACGGGUAGGGACCUGAGAGGGUGGCCCCCCACAAUGGAACUGAAACACGGUCCAUACACCUACGGGUGGCAGCAGUAGGGAAUAUUGCUCAAUGGGCGAAAGCCUGAAGCAGCAACGCCGCGUGUGCGAUGAAGGCCUUCGGGUCGUAAAGCACUUUCUAAGAGAUGAGAAAGGACAGUAUCUUAGGAAUAAGUCUCGGCUAACUACGUG
rnacentral:rRNA from 1 species